rnacentral:lncRNA from 1 species
GGAAUGAAAAAGAUCUAUAGAAGAAUGUCUGAGAUUUUCUUCUACCUCAAUCAGAUUCGAGAGGGAACUGGGACACUAUGAAGAAGGAACAUGUACACUGUUAGCCAAAACACGACCAGAGUCUCCAGAACGAAGGAGCAGAGAACAUUUAUCCAACCCAGCUGUUCAGCCGAUGAAGACAAUGUACCACCCCUCCCCCGAGGUGAAGCGGUGACCACAUUUCAUCCUCCCCACAGCGGCUGAUUUACCUUCUGACAGUGCAGAGGAACAUUACGCCACACAUCCAGACCGGAAAAGUAUGUGACUUAUUGUUCAUCGAAGUAGAUUAGUCCUGCCUUCAGAGCUGAGCAGACAAGCUUAGCUCUUCUUCUCCCAGCGAGGGCGUCUGUCUUUAGAUGACUAAUGCAGCCUUUCUCUAAAGCAGACACCUAUUCACUCAGUCCAUGGACAACAUGACUUCAUAAUAGAAGUUUUCUUUAAUAUUUCUUUCAUUUGUAUUAACAUUUCAUGUGUUUUGCAGAGCAAGAGACAUUCGAAUAAAGUUUAUUAUAAGCAUUAUAAAAGUCACGAGAGAAAGUAGGUGCCCGUACUAAUUAAAAACUCAUUGUAUGCCAGGAGUUGUGAUACUUUGGGCAUUACAUUAUGCUAACACUCCCAGAGAUCCUGUUACUCUUGUUCACAGGUGAGGAGGCUGAGCUUGGAGAUGUAGUCACUAUGCAAACUCCUACCGAGGGUAGGUGCUAACAGUGGGAUUCAUAUGACUUGAAACCUCACACUCUACCACUUCUCUAUACUCCUUAGUAGAUUAAUGCAAUUAACACCUAGAUUUCCCUUUCCUUCUCUGUCUCCCUCCCUCUUUCCUUCCCCCCAAUUUCCCUUCUCCUAAUCCUUCUGACCUGCUCUAAUGAAUAUUGCAUCGACCUUCAGUAAACUGUCCAAUAAUUGGCAGUGCUGCUCUUUUGCCUCCAUCCUUUCAGUUGCACGUAACGUUUUUCAUACAGAUUUGCUCUGCUGAAUCUCAGCUGGAAUUACAUCACAAGUCGCUUAGGUGUAAGUAAGAAGUGUCCCACUAAACUUUCAUUAUUAACUCCA